GCCUUCUUUGUCAGACCAGAAGCAGAAGUCUCACACCUUCUGUAGGAUGCCCUGAAGGGAAGGGCUGGGAUUCUGGCUCCUUUCCAAGGAACAUACCAGAAAUGGCAGCAUUCUCCUUCACCCAGAAUAAGCACUCUGAAGGAAAUGCUGUUUCAUAAUUCCCUUCCUUUGCUUUCUACUCCAGAAAUACCAUUUCUCUAAUGAUCUGAAGAUCAACCCUUGUUCCUGUCUCAAAAGCAAAAAGGCUCAGGCUCCUCUGCAGGACUUUGAGCUGUUAAGAAACCCUGGAAUUCCUGCACAUACUGGUUGAUGUGUUCCGAUAUAUUUUAAGAAAAUAUCCAGCCACCAGCUGUGCCGACCAGGAAGAAACAAGAGAUAAUGUCAGCGAGCGCCCUAUUGAUACCUGCGCAGAAGUCACUGGAGUUAAUCGUGGGUGCUGGAACGGGGAAGAAAUACAACUUUUGCAGCAGCGGGUAGAAGUCAGAAGAAGUAGUAUUCAAGAACGCGAUUGGACCUUGCUUAGAACACACAAACGGAGCUAAUGGCUGUAGCUAUUUUUUUAAUUGAUUCAUUUUUCUAGAGGAGUGCCUCAGGAGUAGUGGAGCUGUGGGGCCCCAGGCCUGGAAUGGUUGUUAGAAUAAACGCUGUGUCUUGCUGAGCAAAUCCUUAGCUUUGCAAAGCUCUGAUCAGUCCCACCUGCUUGUGGUCGAGCUGGUCUCAAUAUCAGAUGAUGAAAUACUGGCCAGGGCUCUUACGGUUGUAGGUAAAAGAAACCAAACUCCUGUGAGCUUAAACAUUGUGAGCAUCUGCUUCUCUGGUGGAGAGAGCCAGACCAUCCAUCUUCAGGCCCAGCUGGACUCCUGUGUUGAACAUUCUUGCCAAAACCCUUUGUUGUCCUUUCCUGUCCUUUAUUUUUAGGCAGCUUUAGCUACUGUGAUGGACGCAAUGAGCACCCACAUCCCCAGGCUUCUAUAAAACCAGCUGAACACACCGCAGACAGA
rnacentral:sRNA from 1 species